UGCUCCCCAAAAUCCUAUAAAAGCCCAUCCUUGGUUCCGUGGGGCGCGCCAGUCCCCCGAGUGACUGAAGCGCCCGCAGGUGCCUGUGCCUGUGUAUCCCAACAAUAAACCAAAUCCUCUUGCUGAUUGCAUCCUGUGGUGUCUCGGUCUGGUCUUUGGAGUUGGAGGGUCUCCAUCCCGAGGGAAAGUUCUCCCUGAGAGCUUUUCAUUUGGUGCAUUGGCCGGGAAAGGAGAUCCUCCACCCAGGGACCACCGACCACCCACUGGGAGGUAAGCCGGCCGGCGUCUGUCUGAUUCUGUCUCGUUCUGCCUUAUUCUGUCUGUUCUGUGAGCGCUCAGCCAGGUCUGUUCUGUGAGCGCUCAGCCGGGUCUGUUCUGUGAGCGCUCAGCCAGGUUGUUUGGAAUUUGGGCGGGACGAAGAAGGAGCUGACGAGCUCGAGCUCGGACUUCUCGCCCCGCAGCCCUGGAAGACGUUCCAAGGGUGUUAGGGGCCCGACUUUUCGGGGCCCAAUCUGGGAGAGGAGAAAGAUCCGGACUAACGGCACCUCUGUCUGUAUUUUUGGCUUUCAGAGGGCCCCGGACCUUUGCCACCUCCAUCUGACUUUUUGCUUUCAGUUUGGUACCAAAGCCGUGCAGCACGCCUGUCUGUUGUUUGUUUGACUGUUGGUGUUGUUUGUUUUCUCUGUGUUCUAAUCUUCCUUAGAACUAACAUGGGACAGUCCCUAACAACACCCCUAAGUCUCACUCUUGAUCAUUAGAAAGACGUCCACAACCGGGCACACAACCAGUCCGUCGAGGUUAAAAAAAAAAGGAAAAUGGCAGACUCUCUACACAUCCGAGUGGCCCACUUUC
ensembl:lncRNA